GUGCGUGGGUGCAGUUUUUGUGUGCAGAAAUAGUUUUCGCAUCCCAUGAGAUGGGAUGCCUCAUCCUCGAGCUUAUCCUAUGUUCCAUGAUGAUAUAAAUUUUUGGAUGAUUCCUAACUUUACUUUGAGCAUCAGAAAUUUUUUUGAAGUUAAAAUUCCUUCUGGUUUAAUCGUGGAAAUUCGUUGAAGUUGGAAAUCCUGUCAGCCUGAUCC
rnacentral:lncRNA from 1 species